GCAAGUCGAGCGCGCCCUUCGGGGUGAGCGGCGGACGGGUGAGUAACGCGUGGGAAUAUGCCCUUCUCAAGGAAUAGCCUCUGGAAACGGAGAGUAAUACCGUAUACUCCCUUCGGGGGAAAGAUUUAUCGGUGAAGGAUUGGCUCGCGUUAGAUUAGAUAGUUGGUGGGGUAAUGGCCUACCAAGUCUACGAUCUAUAGCUGGUUUGAGAGGAUGAUC
rnacentral:rRNA from 1 species